UACAGAGGGGGCAAGCGUUGUUCGGAAUUACUGGGCGUAAAGGGCGCGUAGGCGGCCUGCUAAGUCGAACGUGAAAUCCCUGGGCUCAACCCAGGAACUGCGUCCGAUACUGGUUGGCUUGAAUCCGGGAGAGGGAUGUGGAAUUCCAGGUGUAGCGGUGAAAUGCGUAGAUAUCUGGAGGAACACCGGUGGCGAAGGCGACAUCCUGGACCGGUAUUGACGCUGAGGCGCGAAAGCCAGGGGAGUAAACGGG
rnacentral:rRNA from 1 species